AGCAGAACCAGACCUGAGGUUUUAAUAACAUCCAGUCAUUUUUAAGCAAAACAACAACAAAAGUUAAGAUUUGACCGUUUUAAAUGAACAGAACUAGCAGCCACCAGCCUAGGUUUUUAAGAUAUUAUUGUUUCAAUAAAGUUAUGUCAAAUUGUGUAGGAAAUAAUUUGUCUUUGGUUUUUUAAUACUGGGGGGGAAAAGCACUUUAUGUUGACUUUCUGUUGUCGUUGUUGCAAUGCUGGAGUAGGAUAGCAGAGUGUAACAAUCAAGCACUUUAACCAAGCACUAUUUUAAUUUGUGCCUCCUGUCGUGACCGUGAUUUGUUACACACCCGUAGCAAGUCACAACCUGUCCUGUGAUAACUGUGAUGGUAUUAUUUUAUGUUGUAUCUGUUUCUACUGUAAAACUCGACUGUAAAUAACUCUGUUGAUAAGCAUUUCCUAACCUAUUUCUAAGUACCUGCCGGGGCGUGUAACUAUUUGCAUGCAACAGGUCUUGGAAUGUGCUAAUAAACGGGACUCUAGAGGAUGCACACGCUGGAGGAAGAUCAUACGCCACUCGAGUCCGCUACAUUUUGUUCCUUUCUACUGUAUAAAAAAAAAAGAAAAAAAAAACAACAAAAAAAAAAAGCUGUUGGUUAGUCCUGAAUGUAAAUGUCUGUCCGUCCAAGCUGUACAGUACUCUGUCUGUAAUCAGUAAUAGUGAAUGCAGCAUGUACGGACAAAAGCAAUAAGCACAUAUAUGUUGUAGGAGCUAUUCUGGGGUAUGACGAUAGCUUUGUUAGGUCUCUCCUCGGCACAAUACUGUACACACAUUGGGAUUAACUCAGCGGUUGUUCAGCCGAUCCCGCGUGGUGGGACACAGCCCAUGGAGGUACUUCCUUGCAAGUCGUACUUGCUUCCUCGAAAGGCAAAACCCUGGGUAAGGCACGAGCAAGAACUGAGCUACAACCUCACGAAUUA